UGGAGGAUAUUGCACAAUGGGCGAAAGCCUGAUGCAGCGACGCCGCGUGGGGGAUGAAGGCUUUCGGGUUGUAAACCUCUUUCGCUAUCGAACAAGGCCCGCUUAGGGUGGGUUGAGGGUAGGUGGAGAAGAAGCGCCGGCUAACUACGUGCCAGCAGCCGCGGUAAUACGUAGGGCGCGAGCGUUGUCCGGAAUUAUUGGGCGUAAAGGGCUUGUAGGCGGCUUGUUGCGCCUGCUGUGAAAACGCGGGGCUUAACUUCGCGCGUGCAGUGGGUACGGGCAGGCUUGAGUGUGGUAGGGGUGACUGGAAUUCCAGGUGUAGCGGUGGAAUGCGCAGAUAUCUGGAGGAACACCGAUGGCGAAGGCAGGUCACUGGGCCAUUACUGACGCUGAGGAGCGAAAGCAUGGGUAGCGAACAGG
rnacentral:rRNA from 1 species